UACAGGGGGUGCAAACGUUGCUCGGAAUCAUUGGGCGUAAAGCGCACGUAGGCGGUUCGUUAUGUCGGAUGUGAAAGCCCUUGGCUUAACCGAGGAAGUGCAUCCGAAACUGGCGAGCUAGAGUACGAAAGAGGAUCGCGGAAUUCCCGGUGUAGAGGUGAAAUUCGUAGAUAUCGGGAGGAACACCGGUGGCGAAGGCGGCGAUCUGGACGGUUUCUGACACUAAGACUCGAAAGCGUGGGGAGCAAACAGG
rnacentral:rRNA from 1 species